GACGAACGCUGGCGGCGUGCCUAAUACAUGCAAGUCGAACGCUUUUUCUUUCACCGGAGCUUGCUCCAUCGAAAGAAAAAGAGUGGCGAACGGGUGAGUAACACGUGGGUAACCUGCCCAUCAGAAGGGGAUAACACUUGGAAACAGGUGCUAAUACCGUAUAACACUAUUUUCCGCAUGGAAGAAAGUUGAAAGGCGCUUUUGCGUCACUGAUGGAUGGACCCGCGGUGCAUUAGCUAGUUGGUGAGGUAACGGCUCACCAAGGCAACGAUGCAUAGCCGACCUGAGAGGGUGAUCGGCCACACUGGGACUGGGACACGGCCCAGACUCCUACGGGAGGCAGCAGUAGGGAAUCGUCGGCAAUGGACGAAAGUCUGACCGAGCAACCCCGCGUGAGUGAAGAAGGUUUUCGGAUCGUAAAACUCUGUUGUUAGAGAAGAACAAGGAUGAGAGUAAAAUGUUCAUCCCUUGACGGUAUCUAACCAGAAAGCCACGGCUAACUACGUGCCAGCCGCCGCGGUAA
rnacentral:rRNA from 1 species